rnacentral:miRNA from 1 species
UGCCUGAGCAUGAUGGCGCACGCCUGCCAGCCCAGCCCUGGGGAGGCCGAGGCAGGAGGAU